rnacentral:rRNA from 1 species
UACGGGGGGGGCAAGCGUUGUUCGGAAUUACUGGGCGUAAAGGGCUCGUAGGCGGCCAACUAAGUCAGACGUGAAAUCCCCAGGCUCAACCUGGGAACUGCGUCUGAUACUGGUUGGCUUGAAUCCGGGAGAGGGAUGCAGAAUUCCUGGUGUAGCGGUGAAAUGCGCAGAUAUCAGGAGGAACACCAAUGGCGAAGGCAGCUCGCUGGAACGGUACUGACGCUGAGGCGCGAAAGCGUGGGGAGCGAACAGG